ACACCAGUUGAUCCUGCUGGAGGGUACUGCUAUCGGACUGCGAUUAAGCCAUGCAAGUCGUUGGUUGGGCUUCCAACCAAGGCGUACGGCUCAGUAACACGUAGUCAACCUACCCUAGGGACUCGUAUAACCUCGGGAAACUGAGGGGAAUGCGGGGUAGGCCAGGAGACCUGGAAUGGUUCCUGGCCAAGAGGCGGCGCAUAAACGCAGGCGUUUGCGCCCUAGGAUGGGACUGCGGCUGAUUAGGUAGUUGGUGAGGUAACGGCUCACCAAGCCGAUAAUCAGUAGGGGCUAUGUGAGUAGGAGCCCCGAGACGGGCACUGAGACAAGGGCCCGAGCCCUACGGGGUGCAGCAGGCGCGAAACUUCCGCAAUGCGCGAAAGCGUGACGGGGGCAGUCCGAGUGCCGUCCUAACGGACGGCUUUUAGCGAGCUUGAAACGCUCGUUGAAUAAGUGCUGGGCAAAUCCUGUGCCAGCCGCCGCGGUAACACAGGUAGCACGGGUGGUAUCCACGAAUACUGAGCUUAAAGCGCCCGUAGCCGGCUUUGCCAGUUCUCUGUGAAAUCUGCCGACUCAAUCGGCAGGCUUGCAGGGAAUACUACAGGGCUUGGGAGUGGGGGAGGCAAGAGGUACUCUAGGGGGAGCGGUAAAAUGCUUUAAUCCUUGGAGGACCAACGGUGGCGAAGGCGUCUUGCCAAAACACGUCCGACGGUGAGGGACGAAGGCCAGGGGAGCAAAUCGGAUUAGAUUUGUUCGAAGGAGCAAAACGGGGGUAUGCAAAACAGUCGUCUUUGCAGUAAAAAACUACGACGACUGCAUUUUCUUGGUGCCUCCUUUCUUCGGGCACUAAAAACCCGAGUAGUCCUGGCAGUAAAUGAUGCAGACUUGGCGUUGCGUCGACCUAGUGUCGGCGCAGUGCCGUAGGGAAACCGUUUAGUCUGCCGCUUGGGGAGUACGGUCGCAAGAUUGAAACUUAAAGGAAUUGGCGGGGGAGCACCACAAGGGGUGGAUGCUGCGGUUCAAUUGGACUCAACGCCGGGAAGCUCACCAAGAGAGACGGCAGGAUGAAGCCCAGGUUAAUGGCCUUGGCUAACGAGCCGAGAGGUGUUGCAUGGCCAGCGUCAGUUCGUGCCGUGAGGUGUCAGGUUAAGUCCUGCAACGAACGAGAUCUCCGUCGACAGUUGCCAACGCGUCCGCAAGGGCGCGCGCACUUUGUCGAGACUGCCUGCGUGAAGCGGGAGGAAGGAGGAGGCGACGCUAGGUCUGUAUGGCCCGAAUCUCUUGGGCCACACGUGGCAUACAAAGGCGCGUACAAUGGGUUACAACGCCGAAAGGCGAAGUCAAUCCCCUAAAACGCGCCCCAGUUCAGAUUGGGGGCUGAAACUCGUCCCCAUGAAGUUGGAAUCCCUAGUAAUCGCGCGUCAUCAUCGCGCGGUGAAUAUGUCCCCGCUCCUUGCACACACCGCCCGUCAAGCCAUCCAAGCGGGGUUCUAGUGAGGCUUCGGCUUCGGCCGGAUUCGAGCUAAGACUCUGUGAGGGGGGUUAAGUCGUAAAUUUGUUGCGACCCGGUUCCGCGAGGAACCGGUAAAAAUCCGCUA
rfam:Candidatus Micrarchaeota archaeon CG1_02_60_51 cg1_0.2_scaffold_947_c, whole genome shotgun sequence.